rnacentral:lncRNA from 1 species
CACAUCGACGGGCGGAUGGGCGGGGUUCCACUAGCACUUGCUUCCCCUGUUGUCGGGUGCACUUGCGUUGUGUGAUGUUAGCGUAACAGGACCGACACUCGACGGCUUCACAUAACGCAACAGCCAAUGACUGGAGCUCUUGCAUGCAAAUGACUUACUUUACUGUCAAAAGCAUGAGUGAUGGAGCAAAGUUAGCCAAUGAAGCAGCAGUCGAUACAGAUUGCGUUGCUCGACGUACGGCGUUGCGCGUUGAUCAUUCGCCAACAAGGGACAAAAGCCAAGUUUGAGAUUUGGCGAAAGAUGUGAACGUCUUGAGUUGUCGGCGAGAGCCUUAU